AAGAAAGUGACAGAGAGGUCAUGUGCUUGGCUUGAAACCAGGAGACGGGGGUUCAAUUCCCUCCUUUCUCG
rnacentral:tRNA from 2 species